GGGGACAGGUUGUUGUUCAGUGGUAUAGCGCUUGAUUUGCAUACAAGAGAGGUUCCAGGUUCAAUACCUGCUGUUUCCA